UCCCUGGUAGUCCAGUGGCUAAGGUUCUGUGCUCCCAAUGCAGUGGGCCCAGGUUUGAUCCCUGGUCAGGGAA
rnacentral:tRNA from 1 species